rnacentral:rRNA from 1 species
UCAGGAUGAACGCUGGCGGCGUGCCUAACACAUGCAAGUCGAACGGUGAUAUAUAGAUGACUUCGGUCUGAAAUAUAUCAUAGUGGCGGACGGGUGAGUAACGCGUGGAUAACCUGCCCCGUACUGGGGGAUAGCAGCUGGAAACGGCUGGUAAUACCGCAUAAGCGCACGAGGGGGCCUCCCCUUGUGUGAAAAGAUUCAUCGGUACGGGAUGGGUCCGCGUCUGAUUAGCCAGUUGGCGGGGUAACGGCCCACCAAAGCGACGAUCAGUAGCCGGCCUGAGAGGGUGAACGGCCACAUUGGGACUGAGACACGGCCCAGACUCCUACGGGAGGCAGCAGUGGGGGAAUAUUGCACAAUGGGCGAAAGCCUGAUGCAGCGAACCGCCGCGUGAGUGAAGAAGUAUUUCGGUAUGUAAAGCUCUAUCAGCAGGGAAGAAAGGCCCUUUAAGGGAGAUGACGGUACCUGACCAAGAAGCCCCGGCUAACUACGUGCCAGCAGCGGC